rnacentral:rRNA from 1 species
ACGUAGGGGGCAAGCGUUGUCCGGAAUUAUUGGGCGUAAAGCGCGCGCAGGCGGUUCAUUAAGUUUGGUGUUUAAGCCCGGGGCUCAACCCCGGUUCGCAUCGAAAACUGGUGGACUUGAGUGUAGGAGAGGAAAGUGGAAUUCCACGUGUAGCGGUGAAAUGCGUAGAGAUGUGGAGGAACACCAGUGGCGAAGGCGACUUUCUGGCCUAUAACUGACGCUGAGGCGCGAAAGCGUGGGGAGCAAACAGGA